UAAAAGAACCCCCAGUGGGUAGUGAAAUAGAACGUGAAAUCGUGCUGAGCUCCCAAGCAGUGGGAGGGGAAAGUGAUCUCUGACCGCGUACCUGUUGAAGAAUGAGCCGGCGACUCAUAGGUAGUGGCUUGGUUAAGGGAACGGAACCCACCGGAGCCGUAGCGAAAGCGAGUCUUAAUAGGGCGAUUGUCACUGCUUAUGGACCCGAACCUGGGUGAUCUAUCCAUGACCAGGAUGAAGCUUGGAUGAAACUAAGCAGAGGUCUGAACCGACUGAUGUUGAAGAAUCAGCGGAUGAGUUGUGGUUAGGGGUGAAAUGCCACUCAAACCCAGAGCUAGUUGGUUCUCCCCGAAAUGCGUUGAGGUGCAGCAGAUCGGAAGGCGUCGUGUA